UCCAGAAUGAAUGUCACAAGUGCCUGAUACCAUCAAGGUCCUACAUACCUUUUUAUCUUUCCGCUCCAGAAUCCUUAACCUCAAGCUCUCAAUCUCAUGGUUGCAAGGCAGUGCUCCAUCUCCAAGACCUUUCCCAUGGUCUAGAGAAAAAGAGAAGAGAGGAAUUCAAGAAGUAGUCAAAAUGGAGGAGGCAAUAUGAUAACAGAGCAGAGAUGGAUAGGAUGUGCUUUGAAGAUGAAGGAAGAGCACCACAAGCCAAAGAAGAUGGGCAGUCAACAAAGCCAUUCCAGAGAUAAAUUAACACAACUUAGAUAAGUGGAUGCAAGAUGAACUCCUUUCCUGGCCACUCUGAAAGCCUAAAUAGAUGAAGACAUUAAGAUAAAAUAUCUAAAAGGAUACCAGAGCACUUACUACCAGGACUGAGAAGAGCAUGUGGAUGUGGGAGUAACCCCAGUGUCAUGUGCAAUACCAGCUGGCAAGGUGUGGAGAAAAGGAACCACUUGUGCACCAUUGGUAGGGAUUCUCCAUCACUGCUCAUCAUCAUCCAGCCUGAAGAGUUAUCAAUAUAUUGCCAAAUUGGUUUCAUCUAUACCUCCCAGCCUCCAUUCUCUAAUGCUCAAUAGCAUUACUGAGGAACAAAAUACAUAAAUUUCACCCAU